UAUUAGCUGUAUACCCCACUUCGAUUUACAUGUAUCGAUCAUAUGAAACGUCUGUAUACGUAUCGAGUUUUUGUGUAGAUGUCAUACGUGUAGCAUUGUUUUUUUAUGUAUAGUAAUAACCGCGUGUAAUCUUUAGCUGACGGUUUUCGGUAGUUUUUUUUACCACAUUUAUUUUACCGUGAGCUUGAACUAAAUACUGUAUGUCAGAUUCUUCGCUAAUGCAGAAGUUUCGGGAUGACAACCCUGAAUCAUUGCAACAAGCCCAUACUUAAAUUGUGGCACAAAAUUUGUACAACUAGGAUUUUCCCUGGAAACCAAUCCAGUAUGAAACACUUGAAAGUGUAGGACAUUAUGAUUACAAAUAAUUGAAAUAAAGACUUUUUCAUGUUCAUUUGUCUAAAGCAGUAAUAACUGUGGAACUGUUCACAAGUGACAUCUAUUCUUCUCAUUGACUAGAUGAGAAAAAUAUAUAUUAAAUUACGCUAAGAAGAGAUUUCUCAAUUGGCUGAGAAAGCAUGAGGAACUUUAUUAUAGAAGUGUCAAUAUCAAUUGACGCACAAGCUUGUUGAUUGUCCCAAAACAUGUCAAAUAAUUUCACCUGUGAUUGUGUGCAUGUACAAGUUCCUAUAAUAUUGACAGCUGUAAAACAUGCUUCAAAAUAUGUUUUCCAUAGGUCACAAAAGGGGAAUUUGUUCAUAAGGCAUCAUCCUUCUUGUAUCCACAAACCUUCAGCCUUUCGGUCGUAGAUGCAACACUAAUUUUGACAACACGAUGGUUAAACAAUUACUUGUCAGGGAUAGAUUUUAACCAACGUCAUGUACUUAAAAUUAGUAACUAUACACAAAAUUUUUUUAAACUCAUGUAUGGAUAGAAAACAUGAAGAAACACAAUAGAACGUAAAUGACCAUGUAAAUAA